rnacentral:misc_RNA from 1 species
UCUCUUAUUUUCUUCUUCUUCAUUCAACACUAACAAAUUUGCUUCGAUGAAAUUUAUGCUCCUAUAAUUCAGUCAAGAAUAUGAAGGUUUUCAUUUAGAAGCUUGAUGAUGUUAUUCUUAUGAAGGUUGGCUGAGGAAGCAACAAGUAACGAUCCAUUGGGCCCUGAUGCUAAAACUAUGACUAAAAUAGCUGAGGCGUCCUAUUUGGUAGAUGAUUAUUGGAGAAUUGUUGAUGUUCUUCACAAGAGGUAUAUAAUUUUCAUUUAAAUCUCAUAGAACUUACCUGAUUAAGAUUUGAACUCAUGACUCUAAAAUCACUGGACUAAUUUAAUUUUCAAACUUUAAUUAUAUGUUAAUCUGAGAUUAAAUGCAAAUGCAGGUUUGAUAACUAUGAUUGGAAGGAAUGGAGGCAGUCUUACAAAACACUGGUACUUCUUGAGUUCCUGCUAACACAUGGCCCUGAAGAAUUUGCAGAAGAGUUUCAAUGCGAUAGCGAUGUAAUUGAAGAGCUUGGAACAUUUCAAUACAUAGAUGAAAGAGGGUAGUUUAAUCUAUUCACCAUGACAUUACAUAAUUAUUUCUUCUUACUAAACUCGUCAUUAAUUUAAUUAAUCAUAUAUUUUUAGUUUCGACUGGGGUGCUAACAUGCAAAAGAGAUCGGAACACGUACUGGAACUCCUCGGAGGAGGAGAAACCUUAAAAGAUGCACGUUUUAAAGCUCUCAAAAUCACCAAAGAGAUUCAAGGAUUUGGCAAUUCCCCUUCAUCGCCAUGUUCAUCGACAUCUCCUUCGUCUGCAGCCUCCGAGUCGUCCAGAACUUCAUCUUUUGGUUCGUAUUCUACCACCAGUUCCAUUUUCAACGAGACAUUAUCCUUUACAAAAGAAGACAUAGACAACUGUGAAAUAAAGGAUCAUAAAACUACUUCACCUACAAGCAGCAAAGAAUUGGAAGGAUCCCACGUUUGGGAUUGCUCUCCGAUUCAAGAGAUGGGUUCUUUGAUGGAUUCUGAAGACGACGACAAUGAGGAGGAGGAGAAACAGGAUGGUCUUAUUAAUGGAAUUUGCUCCAAGCUUGUUGGGAUUAGUCACUCAAGAAAAUUUCAUGGUGAGAAAGAGCUGUUUAGGAGCGUUUCUGAUGUGGGGAGGCCGAUAAAGAAAAAGUAUGAUCGCCAAUUUUCUGUGGGUUACUAGUGGAGUAGUAUGGUAUUUUUUGAGUUUUGUCAUAUUUUUUGCUUGGAAAAUUCUUGCCUAACUCGAUCCGUCAAGACACAAAAAACCAAGUCUAAAUAAAUUUCAUCGUUUCCGCCGUCUAUGAAUAAGUAUUGCCAUAACCAAUUUCUUGCGC